rnacentral:rRNA from 1 species
GAUGAACGCUAGCGAUAGGCUUAACACAUGCAAGUCGAGGGGCAGCAUGGUCUUAGCUUGCUAAGACUGAUGGCGACCGGCGCACGGGUGCGUAACGCGUAUGCAACUUGCCUCACAGAGGGGGAUAACCCGUCGAAAGACGGACUAAUACCGCGUACACUCUAUGUUGGGCAUCCAAUGUAGAGGAAAUGAAAUUCGCUGUGAGAUAGGCAUGCGUCCCAUUAGCUAGUUGGUGAGGUAACGGCUCACCAAGGCGACGAUGGGUAGGGGAACUGAGAGGUUGAACCCCCACACUGGUACUGAGACACGGACCAGACUCCUACGGGAGGCAGCAGUGAGGAAUAUUGGUCAAUGGGCGAGAGCCUGAACCAGCCAAGUCGCGUGAAGGAUGACUGUCUUAUGGAUUGUAAACUUCUUUUAUACGGGAAUAACAAGAGUCACGUGUGACUCCCUGCAUGUACCGUAUGAAUA